rnacentral:rRNA from 1 species
GAUGAACGCUGGCGGCGUGCCUAAUACAUGCCAGUCGAGCGAACAGAUGAGGAGCUUGCUCCUCUGACGUUAGCGGCGGACGGGUGAGUAACACGUGGAUAACCUACCUAUAAGACUGGGAUAACUUCGGGAAACCGGAGCUAAUACCGGAUAAUAUAUUGAACCGCAUGGUUCAAUAGCGAAAGACGGUUUUGCUGUCACUUAUAGAUGGAUCCGCGCCGCAUUAGCUAGUUGGUAAGGUAACGGCUUACCAAGGCAACGAUGCGUAGCCGACCUGAGAGGGUGAUCGGCCACACUGGAACUGAGACACGGUCCAGACUCCUACGGGAGGCAGCAGUAGGGAAUCUUCCGCAAUGGGCGAAAGCCUGACGGAGCAACGCCGCGUGAGUGAUGAAGGUCUUCGGAUCGUAAAACUCUGUUAUUAGGGAAGAACAAAUGUGUAAGUAACUAUGCACGUCUUGACGGUACCUAAUCAGAAAGCCACGGCUAACUACGUG